rnacentral:rRNA from 1 species
CGAACGCUGGCGGCGUGCUUAACACAUGCAAGUCGCACGAGAAAGCUCCUUCGGGAGUGAGUACAGUGGCGCACGGGUUAGUAACACGUGGAUAAUCUGCCCUUGGGCGAGGGACAACCUGACGAAAGUUGGGCUAAUACCUCGUAAGACCACAGGAUCUUCGGAUCUAGGGGUAAAAGGUGGCUUCGGCUACCGCCUGAGGAUGAGUCCGCGUACCAUUAGCUUGUUGGUAGGGUAAAAGCCUACCAAGGCCGAGAUGGUUAGCUGGUCUGAGAGGACGACCAGCAACACUGGAACUGAGACACGGUCCAGACUCCUACGGGAGGCAGCAGUGGGGAAUAUUGGACAAUGGGCGCAAGCCUGAUCCAGCGACGCCGCGUGGGUGAUGAAGGCCUUCGGGUCGUAAAGCCCUGUCAGAUGGGAAGAAUCAAGGAUGACCUCAUACGUCAUCCCCUGACGGUACCAUCAAAGGAAGCACCGGCUAACUCU